rnacentral:snRNA from 1 species
GUGCUUUCUUCAGCAGCACAUAUACUAAAAUUGGAACUAUACAGAGGAGAUUAGCAUGGCCCCUGCAUAAGGAUGACAAGCAAAUUCAAGAAGCAUUCCAUAUUUUU